AAGAACAGUAUUCCCUCCAAUCUAACAUCAUCCGUGGUAACGACAGGUGGCAGGCAAAACAGUGUUUCCUCCAGUGUGCCUUCAAGCGGGAAAUUUUCCGCGCAAAUCCAUCUCAAAUUCAAAUUCCCUCUCUUCCCUUUUACUUUUGGUGAUUGAACAUUAAGAAGCAACAAAAGCAAAGAAAAAAAAACUUCAGGGAUCUUCAUCAUCGCGAAGAUCAUCUUUUAUGAGGGAGAUUUGCUCCUUGCAACUGAAGAAGAGGCUAUUUUAGUACGAGAUAUCUCCACCAUUUUAAAUUCAUUCCCUUUCUCCUCUUUACUCUCAACUCUCAAGUCUCACCAGAUUUCAACUCCCCAAAACGUACCAUCCAUUUCAAAACAAACCCUAAACCCCUUGAUACUCCAAUUCUUGCUCCGCCAUUUCACUCGGCACCUACAAACUCAACAUCUUGCUCCGCCCUUUAUCUUUGUGUGACCUUGAUUGGUGACUCUAUUCAUGCUAUGUAGCCAAACAUGAGUCAAGGAGAAGCUGUACCUACAUCUCAUUGUUGCAUAAAAAUCUAAUAUAGGAUCUGUACUCUGAGGCUCCUAUGAAGAAAUCUGACUUUGGAGAUCACUGGAAGCUUGGAAUCGAGGAUGGUGCGAAGCCUCAGGUGUACAAUGAAGAGCAUGAGAAGUUGUUAUCUGCUGUGGCUGGGUGGGAGACGGUCGUGGUGGUUCAUAGUGGUGCCACAUAUUGUGUACAUCUUGAGCGGCACAAACGGGGACGCGUGGAGUGGGUUCUCAAUAAAGGCCUUUGAGAAUCUCUGGGGAUUCGUUCGUCUCUCCCUUACAUCUGCGGUUAUUCUCUGUUGGGCUUGACAAUGGGAUUAUCUGCAAAGACAUCUAUGAAGAUGUGAAAAAGUGACAAUGUUUUGGAUGACUACAGUAAUAUGGAGCUUGACAAGAUGGAGCAUGCAAAAGAUGAUUUUGAUGUCAACGAUUAUGGUGAGGAGGAUGAGAAAGAACAAGGAGAAGAGGAAGAAGAUGUAGAGAAAAGAACAAUUGAGGAAGACCAAAGUAGAUGGAAUAAUGAUGAGAUGGAACAACUUGAGAUACAAAUGUCCCAAAUCAGAGAGAGAAAGAGAUGUAUAUGACAAGUUUGGCCACACCUAUCAGAAUAGAGAAUAGAAUAAUGAAUAUAUAGGUAAACUUUGAUUUUUGCUAUUAUCUGAAUUUGGUGAUUUAUGGAAGGACUUAAAGCCAAGAUCUAUCUAAUUGAUUUCACCUCCAGGGAUUCACCCUCGACUUAAAGCUAAGAUCAAAUGUGUAUUUGUGCUGCAGGAUAAGACUAUUUUAUGUUGUAUUAUCUGGAAAGGGUUUGCACUAUUGACACAAUCUUAAAGAUGAAAAUAUAAUUGGAGAUGAACUGUAUUCAAUCAUCCUUAUGUUUUGUGCCGCCGUUAUGCUUUAGAAAAGAAUGAGUCGACCUUAUGGAAGUUGAAAAGGAGGUUUCAGAAAAUCAGAGGCACAUGUGCCAAUGAAAAUCAUAACAACAAAAGCAAGCAUAAUGCAUCCAAAAAAAAGAAAAAGGGGUAAAUAAAUGAAAAUUUUAUUUAUUAAGAGAUAGUAUAUAAAAUUAAUCAGGUAUAAGCUCUUUUGGUUGAAUUUUAUAUAAUGAUAGAACUAAUCAAUUUUUUUAUGAUAAUUUUUGCUGCAUUUUUUCGAGGAAAAUCAAUUGGGUGUUCAUUAUUUGAAUGCAAAAUAAGAUUUCAGAGAUCAAUAAUUUGCUUAUACAUUUCUAGAAUAAUUUAGUAAAAAUUAGAUAUGCUCUUUUGCAGCAAAAUAUAAGCUCUUAUUUUAUUUUACUUUUUAUUCUGUAGCUUAAUCGGCACCUUAUUGCUGAAGCUACAAAUGCGAAUGCUGAAUGUGCAUAGUUUAUCAUUUUUGUUAUGCAUAACACUUCUAAAUAUGGGUAGCACUCUUGCAUGUGUUUUAGCAAUGAACUCAUUUGUACUACUUCAUAAUUGAUUUAACAAAUAUUCUCUUACUUGAUGAACCCAACUAUUUUCUUGCUUGAUGAACUAACCAAUCACCUUGGUAAUCCUUCCCUCCCUUAUGAAAAGCCUUUUAUUUGUUGAGGUGCUGUUUUAUUUGAUUGAUUUCUCUAUUGAUAUGUGGAUCAAUUACUAGGAAAUCAAAGUUGAAAUUGUCCUCAAAGACCACAAGGUUCAUUUAUAUUGCCUAUUUGAUCUUUUAUCAUAUGUGGUUGAUGUUCUGAUGGGUGAGUUAUUCUUAUAAAAUAGUUGAACUUGAAAUAUUGUAAUCUUAAUUUAAUUUUCUUUUCAAUGAUUGAUGUGGUUAUGUUCUUAGUUGAACUAUAUUGUUAUAAAAUUAGUUUGCUAUGGUGUUAUUAGAUUUCAUUUGCUUGCUAAAGCUCAUUGUUUUGUUUUAAUGAAACAUUAGAUCACAACUUUCACAUUUAAGUAUUUAACCG